GAUGAACGCUAGCGACAGGCUUAACACAUGCAAGUCGAGGGGCAGCAUGAGGGUUAGCAAUAACUCUUGAUGGCGACCGGCGCAAGGGUGCGUAACGCGUGAGCAACUUGCCCGUUUCUGGGGCAUAACCGGUGGAAACGCCGACUAAUUCCCCAUAGAAUUGAUUUAAGGCAUCUUUUAUCAAUUAAAGAAUUUCGGAAACGGAUAGGCUCGCGUGACAUUAGCUGGAUGGCGGGGUAACGGCCCACCAUGGCGACGAUGUCUAGGGGUUCUGAGAGGAAGGUCCCCCACACUGGAACUGAGACACGGUCCAGACUCCUACGGGAGGCAGCAGUGAGGAAUAUUGGUCAAUGGUCGAGAGACUGAACCAGCCAUGCCGCGUGAAGGUCACGGCCCUAUGGGUCUUAAACUCUUUUGCAAGGGAGCAAUAAGUCCCACGUGUGGGAUGAUGAGAGUACCUUGCGAAUAAGCAAUCGGCUAAACUCCGUGCCAG
rnacentral:rRNA from 1 species